AUUGAACGCUGGCGGCAGGCCUAACACAUGCAAGUCGAACGAGUGGCGGACGGGUGAGUAAUGUCUGGGAAACUGCCUGAUGGAGGGGGAUAACUACUGGCAACGGUAGCUAAUAACGCAUACCAUAAGAUGAGCCAAGAUGGGAUUAGCUUGUUGGUGGGGUAACGGCUCACCAGCGCGACGAUCCCUAGCUGGUCUGAGAGGAUGACCAGCCACACGGGAACAGGGACACGGGCCAGAAGCCUACGGUAGGCAGCAGUGGGGAAUAUUGCACAAUGGGCGCAUGCCUGAUGCAGCCAUGCCGCGUGUAUGAAGAAGGCCUUCGGGUUGUAGAGUACUUUCAGCGGGGAGGCGUUACCCGCAGAAGAAGCACCGGCUAACUCCGUGCCAGCAGCCGCGGUAAUUC
rnacentral:rRNA from 1 species